AAUCACCUUAAAUACUUGUCUACAAUAAGCACCUAUCACGACUGAUAUAUUUGCUAGUUCUAUCUACAUAUUUCUCUAAAGAUGAUGGCCCAUUGUUCUGUAAAGGUGGUUCUGAAUGAUUGCAUUUUCACACCCCCACAAUGGUCGUGAUACAGUCAUCAGUCAUGGAGCUGCUGAAGAUGCUGUUGUUGAAGUUGCCUCCAUGGUGCUUUUUGGACUACAACACAUGAUUCCACGUCAGCCCUGGGCUACAAAACUUUAUAGGAUUUCUAAUGCAACAUCAUCUAGGGCAGAGGUAGGCAACAUUUGGCAUGCCAAAUUUUGCAGACUACAUCUACCAUAAUGCUGGCAAAGUAUCAAGGGAGAUAUCCAAACAUCUGGAUUGUCGAAGUUUGCCUACCCCUGAUAUGAUAUUAAGGUGAUAAUUGGAUCAUUACCAAAAAAUGAGAUUGUUUACAAGACUUGAACUUACUUAGAGUCAUUGUAGCAAUUAAAUGUGUUUUGGGAUGAGAGCUAUCAUGAGUAGAUGCAUGGGACGGCAGGGCCGGACUGGGAGAAAAAUUCGGCCCGGGCAUUUUUUUAACACAGCGGCCCACUAAAAAGGGGGCGGGGCAGAGGAG